UGGGGAAUAUUGCACAAUGGGCGCAAGCCUGAUGCAGCCAUGCCGCGCGUGUGAAGAAGGCCUUCGGGUUGUAAAGCACUUUCAGCGAGGAGGAAGGGUAGUGUGUUAAUAGCACAUUGCAUUGACGUUACUCGCAGAAGAAGCACCGGCUAACUCCGUGCCAGCAGCCGCGGUAAUACGGAGGGUGCAAGCGUUAAUCGGAAUUACUGGGCGUAAAGCGCACGCAGGCGGUUUGUUAAGUCAGAUGUGAAAUCCCCGCGCUUAACGUGGGAACUGCAUUUGAAACUGGCAAGCUAGAGUCUUGUAGAGGGGGGUAGAAUUCCAGGUGUAGCGGUGAAAUGCGUAGAGAUCUGGAGGAAUACCGGUGGCGAAGGCGGCCCCCUGGACAAAGACUGACGCUCAGGUGCGAAAGCGUGGGGAGCAAACA
rnacentral:rRNA from 1 species